UUAUUUUAUUGACACACUCAUAGAAAUAUGGGGUCGUUUGAACUAUUAGGGUCUAAAGGAUAAAUCCAAUGAUAGCCAGAGUUUUCUUU
rnacentral:ncRNA from 1 species